UACGUAGGGUGCAAGCGUUAAUCGGAAUUACUGGGCGUAAAGCGUGCGCAGGCGGUUUUGUAAGUUUGUCGUGAAAUCCCCGGGCUUAACCUGGGAAUUGCGAUGAAGACUGCAAGGCUAGAAUCUGGCAGAGGGGGGUAGAAUUCCACGUGUAGCAGUGAAAUGCGUAGAGAUGUGGAGGAACACCGAUGGCGAAGGCAGCCCCCUGGGCUAACACUGACGCUCAUGCACGAAAGCGUGGGGAGCAAACAGG
rnacentral:rRNA from 1 species